GCAAGACUGCUGGCGAGAAAAUCCUCAUGAUCGCCCAGUGUUUGAGAGUCUUAGGGAUGAUUUGAAGGAAAUGGAAAAUCAACAUCAGAGGCUCAUCAACAUGCAACUUUACGACAACAUCCUUUACGCAAAUGUGGAGUGAAUUCUUGUUAAGAAUUAUGGAAACAAUUCCUAUCAUCAUAAUCGGCAACAGUUUCUCCAACACAGUAUUUGGGAAUCUAUGUAUUAAAAGUAGAUGUUUUUUAAAGAUAAAUCAAGCCAUUUUAAUAUGCACGGCUAAAAAUUAGGACAAGUACACUGCCCAUCAAGCGAGGUAGAAGUCGAAAUGAAGUAAGAAAGCGGUUGAUUCUAACUUGUAGUUAUAUUGGUAUUUGGUAUGGAAGUCAAAGCGAACAAUAACUUACGAUAUUGACAAAUAGUCAAUGGUUGUUAUAACAUUUAACAAGGAUGUCAGUGUAUUUUAAGCGGCACUCAUCCUACUUUGUAGAAUACUCAAAAUUUACUUGCUACUGUAGCCAAGUGUUGAAUAUUGAUUACGCAUAAACUUUAGAAACUUUACCUGAGGAAGGUCAGGAAGUGCUGGACGAAUUAUUUUAUUGUUGCAUUUAACGUGAGCCUAGGGUAGAUUAAGCAUGCAUGCUAUAUGACCUUAAUAGUUAAAACACGUCAUCGAAUAAAAACUGGAACCACAA